CCGGUCGAUGACGACUUCAUGAGGGAACUUAAUGAUCAGUUUGAAUUCCUUAUCCAAAGUGCGAGUGAAGAGUACAGUUGACGUGAGGAGACCGGUGCGCGGGGUAAGCCUGUGUACCGUAAGGGAGACAACCCAGAGCUGGGUUAAGGUCCCCAAGUGUGGACUAAGUGCGAUCGAAAGUGGUGCCGAGCCCUAGACAGCCGGGAGGUGAGCUUAGAAGCAGCUACCCUCUAAGAAAAGCGUAACAGCUUACCGGCCGAGGUUCGGCGCGCUGAAAAUGAUCGGGGCUCAAGUCCACCACCGAGACCGAGCGACACAUCUGACGAUGUGAUUCCGUAGGUUGGCAUACUGUUCGGGUGGAAGCGCGGGAGAGAUCUCGUGUGGACCGUGCAGUAACG
rnacentral:ncRNA from 1 species